rnacentral:tRNA from 1 species
GUCCCCGUGACUGAAUGGUAUUAGAGCUCGCUUUGUAACCGGAAGGUCCUGGGUUUAAAUCCCAGUGGGUUCA